rnacentral:tRNA from 1 species
UUUACGCUGGGGUGUUAAUGCACGAUAAAUCUUGAUUUUAUAUGUUUAUAGGGGUAUAACUGUG